UAGGGAAUCUUCCGCAAUGGGCGAAAGCCUGACGGAGCAACGCCGCGUGAGUGAUGAAGGUCUUCGGUUCGUAAAACUCUGUUAUUAGGGAAGAACAAAUGUGUAAGUAACUAUGCACGUCUUGACGGUACCUAAUCAGAUAGCCACGGCUAACUACGUGCCAGCAGCCGCGGUAAUAUGUAGGUGGCAAGCGUUAUCCGGAAUUAUUGGGCGUAAAGCGCGCGUGGGCGGUUUUUUAAGUCUGAUGUGAAAGCCCACGGCUCAACCGUGGAGGGUCAUUGGAAACUGGAAAACUUGAGUGCAGAAGAGGAAAGUGUAAUUCCAUGUGUAGCGGUUAGAUGCGCAGAGAUAUGGAGGAACACCAGUGGCGAGGGCGACUUUCUGGUCUGUAACUGACGCUGAUGUGCGAAAGCGUGGGGAUCAAACAGG
rnacentral:rRNA from 1 species